rnacentral:rRNA from 1 species
GAUGAACGCUGGCGGCGUGCCUAAUACAUGCAAGUCGAGCGAACGGACGAGAAGCUUGCUUCUCUGAUGUUAGCGGCGGACGGGUGAGUAACACGUGGAUAACCUACCUAUAUGACUGGGAGAACUUCGGGAAACCGGAGCUAAUACCGGAUGAUAUUUUGAACCGCAUGGUUCAAAAGUGAAAGACGGUCUUGCUGUCACUUAUAGAUGGAUCCGCGCUGCAUUAGCUAGUUGGUAAGGUAACGGCUUACCAAGGCAACGAUGCAUAGCCGACCUGAGAGGGUGAUCGGCCACACUGGAACUGAGACACGGUCCAGACUCCUACGGGAGGCAGCAGUAGGGAAUCUUCCGCAAUGGGCGAAAGCCUGACGGAGCAACGCCGCGUGAGUGAUGAAGGUCUUCGGAUCGUAAAACUCUGUUAUUAGGGAAGAACAUAUGUGUAAGUAACUGUGCGCAUCUUGACGGUACCUAAUCAGAAAGCCACGGCUAACUACGUG